UGUAAUGAAAUGUAUCUGCCUCAUGUGGUUCUGCUGAAGGAGAUUAACUCACCAUUCAGCUGGGACUAAUUACAAGCUGCAGCAGCUGGAGAGAGAAAGAUCAGGAGGCCAGAUGGCUUGGAGAAGUGUAGGGGAUUUUCUUUCAAUAACAGGUUUUGAAGGACUUCCCCAGUUAUCUGGGAAAAAAUAUCAUAGGAUGUCAUAAAGAAAAACUCCUUGGAAGAAAGAUCUUGUGAACAAGAUUUGUCUGAAUGGUUCUCAGAGAAUUCUUACCAGAAAAUGACUCUGUCAAGUUCCUGGUAAUCUGUUUUGUUGAACUAUGGAAUCCUUUUACCAAAAUGAAGAGAGAUGACAACUAGUCUUGUCCGGUAUUCUCCAAGCUCCCAGAAAGUACUAUCAGGAUUAUUCAGUAACUGGGAGUCCAAGGGAUCAACUUUCCAAAUGUCAUUAUCAGUGUUCAGUUACCUAGCAAGCACAAAUGUGAACUUCUUGAAACUAAUGAGAACAGAGGAUUUACAGCAAGAAAAUCUGGGCACGUUAAUAAAUGUUUCCCAGUUCUAUUCCUUAUUAUACUUAUAAUGGGUAUUGUGUGCUUUUCAUGAUACAGUAAAAAGAAUUGGUAUCUGCAAACAAAUUUUGCUAGUAAUAUGCAUCUGUUACUAGGAUGAUGGGGUGCAAUGUAAGCAUACAGCUGGAUGGAUUUUAAGCUCUUUGAGGAAAAUCUAUGUAUGUGUACUGCUGGGUGAAGCCUGGAAAUUUCAGAAAUAUAAAAAUAAUCAUAUAUUUUACCUAAUUUCACACAAGCAAAACCCAAAUGGAGCUAACUUUUUAAACACUAAUAACUUCUUGGCUUCAUCUAAAGUGGAUCAAAGUGCUUAAUAUUUUAGUGAUAUCUGGUUUUAGUUGUAGCAUUAAAAAAAAAAAAAAAAAGAAGUUACUUUUUAUACUUAGGUAAGUAAACAAAGUAGACACACCAAACAAACAUUUCCCUGUUUCCUGUCAGUAUGUUAAAUGUUUCAUAAGAUUUUUCUUCUCCAAAUAAGAAUGUGUGCACAUUUGUUUUUAAACGUUGGAGCUGCCUUUGACUGAUUUUAAAAUAAUGUCUUAAUAUCAUCAUGAGCACAUUUUUCACCUAGUCCUUAUUAAAGCUACACAUUUCACAGCCACCAAUUACAGGUUGGUGCUACAUCCUUGACAGUUGUUUGAGAAUAGUUUGAAGUGGUGAAGGUGAAAUGUAAUUAACAGUAGAUAUCACAUAAAUGCUUCGAUCAAUUUAAAUUAGUCACUAGUAGGCCAUGUAUCACAGAUUGAAGUGUGGUAUUUAACAAGAAGAAAAUCCUUAUUAAUAAUGUUGUCCUUUGCAUAUUAAUCCAUUGUUAGACUUUGUCUUAAAUGCGUGCAUUGUUUGACUUGAUUACAGUAGUGUGUCUGAAAACAUGAAAUUUAUUCUUUCCCUUCUUAGUAUCUUUAUCUGCAAUGCUUAAAGUAGGCAUUAGAAUCAUAAGGAAGGUUUCCCGAAAGACAAAUUUCAGUUUCUUCAGAAUGGUGUGUGGGCAUAAAUAAACAUUCCUCUGUGUGUGUGCGUGUGUAGUAU
rnacentral:lncRNA from 1 species